rnacentral:misc_RNA from 1 species
GAUGAAGAACGUAGCGAAUUGCGAUAAGUAAUGUGAAUUGCAGAUUUUCAGUGAAUCAUCGAAUCUUUGAACGCACCUUGCGCUCCUUGGUAUUCCGAGGAGCAUGCCUGUCCGAGCGUCAUUGCUGCCCUCAAGCACGGCUUGUGUGUUGGGCUUCCGUCCCUGGCAACGGGGACGGGCCCAAAAGGCAGUGGCGGCACCAUGUCUGGUCCUCGAGCGUAUGGGGCUUUGUCACCCGCUCCCGUAGGUCCAGCUGGCAGCUAGCCUCGCAACCAAUCUUUUUAACCAGGUUGACCUCGGAUCAGGUAGGGAUACCCGCUGAACUUAAGCAUAUCAAUAAGCGGAGGA